rnacentral:lncRNA from 1 species
UUUCUUCUGCAAAGUUGUAGAGAAUUGAAUUUCCUAUAAAAAUUCGCGAGAUUCAAAUUUUCUGAUAAAAGGGCUAUUUAUUAUGAAUUAUUGAAGUUCUGAAGUUCCGAAAUAAUUGAUUUUUGGAAGUUUUAUUUAUUUUUAUUAAUAAAAACGUUUUUUAUAUGUUGUGGGCAUCUUUAACAUGUGCAUGGUGGCUGAAUUCAGAUUCAAGAUGUGGGAGUAUGAAUUUUGUUUAUAUAUAAUAUUAUUAUAUUCAUUUUUCUGCUUUGGUGUUCUAAGCAAUUUCCUAUAAAUAGGGUGCUUAGGUUAGAAUUGAAAAUUACACCAGAAACUAAAGAUUUCUCUCACUUUCUCUCUCUAUUAUAUCGAGCGUAUUUUGUGAGUAUUUUAGUACUUUGAGUAUUGCUAUACGGUGCAAGUUCUUUCAGCACUAUAUCUAGUAUUCCAGUCAAAAGUACUAUUCUUUCUGAGGUAAGGGAUGUUAUUUUAUUCGAAAAUGAUAUUAUUUCUUCAAUAUCAUUAUGCCAAAAUAUUGGUUGGAAAUUUUUAUCAAAUUUAGAACUUUUUCAUGUCGGAGUUUCUAUUCAUGAGUUACUAUUCACGA